rnacentral:lncRNA from 1 species
GUGGACAGACAGAUGGACUCAAGAGACCACAGUAGGCUUCAGCCCUCAUGUGUUCUCAUGUGUUUUCCUCUUUCCCUGCAGUGGGGUCUCCACCACCAUAGACCCCUUCUGGGACAUCAGUUUAGACCUGCCCGGUUCUUCCACCCCAUUCUGGCCCUUAAGCCCAGGGAGCGAGGGCAGUGUCGUCAAUGGGGAGAGCCACGCGUCUGGGACCACCACUCUCACAGACUGCCUGCGAAGGUGAGACAUCCGCAGUGUUGGUUCAGAAUCUCUCUCUUCCUUCCAUUUUACUAUGUGAUUCGAUCUUUUAAAAUUACGGGGGGGAAAAAAGCAAGAAGAAA